CCUACGGGGGGCAGCAGUGGGGGAUAUUGGACAAUGGGGGGAACCCUGAUCCAGCGACGCCGCGUGAGUGAAGAAGUAUUUCGGUAUGUAAAGCUCUGUCAGCAGGGAAGAAAGAAAUGACGGUACCUGACCAAGAAGCCCCGGCUAACUACGUGCCAGCAGCCGCGGGAAUACGUAGGGGGCAAGCGUUAACCGGAAUUACUGGGUGUAAAGGGAGCGUAGACGGUUAAGUAAGUCUGGAGUGAAAGGCCGGGGCCCAACCCCGGGACUGCUCUGGAAACUAUUGAACUUGAGUGCAGGAGAGGUAAGCGGAAUUCCUAGUGUAGCGGUGAAAUGCGUAGAUAUUAGGAGGAACACCAGUGGCGAAGGCGGCUUACUGGACUGUAACUGACGUUGAGGCUCGAAAGCGUGGGGAGCAAACAGGAUUAGAUACCCUAGUAGUC
rnacentral:rRNA from 1 species